AGAGUUUGAUCAUGGCUCAGAUUGAACGCUGGCGGCAGGCCUAACACAUGCAAGUCGAACGGUAACAGGAAGCAGCUUGCUGCUUUGCUGACGAGUGGCGGACGGGUGAGUAAUGUCUGGGAAACUGCCUGAUGGAGGGGGAUAACUACUGGAAACGGUAGCUAAUACCGCAUAACGUCGCAAGACCAAAGAGGGGGACCUUAGGGCCUCUUGCCAUCGGAUGUGCCCAGAUGGGAUUAGCUAGUAGGUGGGGUAACGGCUCACCUAGGCGACGAUCCCUAGCUGGUCUGAGAGGAUGACCAGCCACACUGGAACUGAGACACGGUCCAGACUCCUACGGGAGGCAGCAGUGGGGAAUAUUGCACAAUGGGCGCAAGCCUGAUGCAGCCAUGCCGCGUGUAUGAAGAAGGCCUUCGGGUUGUAAAGUCUUUUCAGCGGGGAGGAAGGGAGUAAAGUUAAUACCUUUGCUCAUUGACGUUACCCGCAGAAGAAGCACCGGCUAACUCCGUGCCAGCAGCCGCGGUAAUACGGAGGGUGCAGGCGUUAAUCGGAAUUACUGGGCGUAAAGCGCACGCAGGCGGUUUGUUAAGUCAGAUGUGAAAUCCCCGGGCUCAACCUGGGAACUGCAUCUGAUACUGGCAAGCUUGAGUCUCGUAGAGGGGGGUAGAAUUCCAGGUGUAGCGGUGAAAUGCGUAGAGAUCUGGAGGAAUACCGGUGGCGAAGGCGGCCCCCUGGACGAAGACUGACGCUCAGGCGCGAAAGCGUGGGGAGCAAACAGGAUUAGAUACCCUGGUAGUCCA
rnacentral:rRNA from 1 species